rnacentral:misc_RNA from 1 species
GAAAUGCGAUAAGUAGUGUGAAUUGCAGAAUUCAGUGAAUCAUCGAAUCUUUGAACGCACAUUGCGCCCCUUGGUAUUCCAUGGGGCAUGCCUGUUCGAGCGUCAUUUGUACCCUCAAGCUCUGCUUGGUGUUGGGUGUUUGUCCCGUCUCCGCGCGUGGUCUCGCCCCAAAGUGAUUGGCAGCCGGCGUACUGGUCCCGGAGCGCAGCACAUGUCGCGCAAACGAGUGCCUUGGUACGGCGGCGUCCAUAAGCCCCUCUCUCACGCUCUUGACCUCGGAUCAGGUAGGGAUACCCGCUGAACUUAAGC